rnacentral:pre_miRNA from 1 species
CAGAAGGAGGAGCCAAGUAUGGACGCAGACGUCCGGGUUUCGUGACACGCGAACCGUUUGUAAAACUUGGUUCGUUGUCGACGAAACCUGCACGAUCUGCAACCACAU